rnacentral:rRNA from 1 species
CAGUCGCCGCGGGAAUACGGAGGGUGCAAGCGUUAAUCGGAAUUACUGGGCGUAAAGCGUGCGUAGGUGGUGGUUUAAGUCCGUUGUGAAAGCCCUGGGCUCAACCUGGGAAUUGCAGUGGAUACUGGGUCACUAGAGUGUGGUAGAGGAUAGUGGAAUUUCCGGUGUAGCAGUGAAAUGCGUAGAGAUCGGAAGGAACAUCUGUGGCGAAGGCGACUAUCUGGGCCAACACUGACACUGAGGCACGAAAGCGUGGGGAGCAAACAGGAUUAGAUACCCCCGUAGUCCCUGUCUCUUAUAC